UUUAAAUUUUCAUACAGGAGUCCCUAAAUACUUAAAUAAUAAAAAGCUGUUUAGUGUUUGAUAUUAAAUCGUAUUGGAGUGAUUUCAUUUAGAGACAUUACCAUACCUGCCGGUAUUGGAUUGUGAAAAACCGGUGGGUGGGGUAUUGUGUAAAAUAAAACUUAUUUAGCACGAUGUGUGGACUUUUCAGACGGUCCUGACCACAUCCUCCACACAGUAUUAGAGCGUUUCAGCACAAUAUGUGCACUUUUCAGACGACCCCUUACCCACCAUAUGAAAAAUUUCCAACUUGUUUCAAUGUUACAUUAACGAUCUGGAACCACUUCGCCGUGACGCCAUCUGACCAGCAUACGGGACAAAUCGCGUGCCGUAGGCUAUUGAUUUGAUUCGGGACGUAUCAUUUUAUAUUUAAAAACGGGACGAUCCCGUAUUUUACGUGACAGGUGGCAACGCUACCUGGAGGUCUAAUACAUUCUCAUGUGCAAAGUGUGGAUGCGGAAAAUCGUGAGUUUAUCGGGAGAAAUUGUAAAUCGGGACUACAGCGGGAGGAGUGGUGGAAAAACGGGAGAAACCCGGUAAAAUCGGGAGUGUUGGCAGGUAUGCAUUACAGGCUAAUUGCUCCUUGUGGUCGGUGAAUGGCUCGGUUUGACAUUUACAUGAUGUGAAUUUAGAGACAUCUGCUGGUCAAUGGUGGAAAUGCAGGCAGAGGACAACACUGGUUAAAUCGCGCAGCGUUUCAAAAUUAAAUCAUAAUAUAUAUAUAUAUUAUAAAGGAAGACUAGUAAAAGUUUAUGAAAAGUCAAUUUAAGCAGGAAAAAUAAAGCGUGACGUGCAUGUUUCCUGCCACGAGUCAGCUGACCUGAAGCAAAACCAAUAGGACCAAAGUCACGCUGCAACUGUAUUAAAUCUACGUGUUCAGACAACAUACACACAUGAAUACCGAGUUUCAGCUAGAAACUGCACAUAUUACUCUUAUAUAUUUACACCGUUGCCUGAACCAGAUGUCGGUUCUGUACUUUGCAAAAAGUGCCGAAUUAACGGGGCUUUAAUUAGAGAACAUAACUAUUCAGUCAAAUACAACCUCUCUACAACUGUGGCAGGAUUUGGAGAAGAGACAUCCAAGGUACAUUUUUACAUUAUUACAUUUUUUGUUGGACUUUCACACUAAUGAUGCCCACUGUUUUCUUAAAGGUGCACUCAGUAAUUUCUGACUCACUAAAAAGUUUUACUCCUAAAGAAAUAAUUUGUAAUUUUGAAACAUAUGUAUAAAAUAAUGAGCACUCACAUGAGAUGAAGACUCCAGUCAUAUCAGCAACAUUAUAAAAGCUCUUUUAUUCUACAUAGAGAGGGUCGCUUCAUGGGGGCAGCCAUGUUAGAAUCACAUGACCAGUCGAAUACUACUUGCUAAAUCUCAGUUACUGCACUGUUAUUGUACACUUUCACUCUUGAAUUAAAUUAAUCAUGGCUGACAGUGAAUAGUGAAUUUCUGCCAUGGCAUCUCUAACAGAAAACUAUUGUGUUUGAAUGAUGCUACGUCCACGCUGCUAGGUUUCAAUGUAAAGGCAUGGUCAUAUUUACCUUUGCACGGGUGCGAAUGGGUGGAUGUUGUCCGCUUGUGAAAUCAGCAUAAUAAAAUAACAACCAAGCAGUCUUUUUUUUAAAUGCUACUCUAGUAGAGUGAAGUUUAAAAGAAACUUUCUGAGUUGCAGCUAAAAUGAUUCCUUGUCCAUCGUGAAUAUUCAGUGUGGCUGUGUACAAACACCGCUCACUCAGAUGUCAGCUGCCAGACGAAGCAACUUCUUACUGGUCAAUGUGGCGAAUUCGCCCAUUAAAGUUCACAAAACUUGAACUCCACGUGAAGUCCACGAGAGGAAAUUCUUCGCCACCGGAAGUCCAUCGCAUGAAAUUCAUGAUUGCAUUGAUUCCCAUUGAGAAAUGCAUUUUGCCCACAGAAUUUCACUGUGAGAAGGUAUGUUUGACUGCGCGUUAAGUCCAAGACGAUGUGCAAAACAAUAUGCUGAAAAAACAAACACUUAUGCUGCCUUUGGUAGGUCAUGUACAUCAUGUAUAUUCACAGAAAUAUACAGUAUAUUAAAAUAUAUGAGUCAAAGUGUCUAAUGACAUUUUAUACUAUUUGAUUGACCAUUUAAGAAAUUAUCUGAUAAGAAUAUUAUGUUUAAUGAUUUAAAAAAGAAAGAAAAGUGUUGCCAUAGUUGCUUGAAAUGGUAUCUUAUUGUAUUGUGCUAGUUUGUAAUACAGUAUAUAAUGCAAUCUGUACAGCUGUCACUGUAAAUGUUAUCUCAGUCAAUAAAUUUAGUACAGUUUUUCUGUGGGUGCCUCGUGCCACCCCCCUGCAAUAUGCCGCCCUGUGCAACUGCAUAUGUCGCCCAUGCCUAAAUCCGCUACUGUUGGCAGCUAGUUUUGCGAGGGCAAGCCCCACUCACAUUCACUUUAGAAGAUGCAAAAUUCUAGUAAAUUUGUUUCUCCUGUUUGUCAGACUCUGUGUUAAGGGAUCAAGUGGUUCUGGCAGUGUGUCAGUAAUACGUGCCUCUGGGUGAACAGCCCUUGACCCUCAGACAGGGAGACGAGGUGGCAAUUAUACCGCCCUUUAGUGGAGGGUAGAGGAAUUACCGAGGAAUGACUACAGAUGGAGGUCAAGAUCUAAUCACAUUAACAACUGACAAGCUUUCUGCUGAUGCUGUUUCUGAAUCUGUAACUUGUGCCUCCUGUGGAGCUAUAUCACUAUUUAUAUUGGGACUACCAGAGAUAAUUUUGAGGGCAAGAUAGUAAUACAGCUUGAAUAUGACGCAUACAUUCCAAUGGCUGAAUCAGAAUUGAAGAAAAUCUGCAGUGACAUCAGGACAAAAUGGCCAAGCGUCAGGCAUAUCAGCAUAGAACACAGACUUGGAAGCAAGUGUUAUAAUUAGUAUUUCAUCACCACAUAGAAGUGAUUCUCUGGAGUCGGUGAAGGACUGUAUCGAUACACUGAAAGCUACAGUGCCAAUCUGGAAAAAGGUCUGAAAACCCAUCAUACAUUUAUAUGUCCAAAAGUAUGUGGACGCCCCCUAAUGAACCUGUUAAUUAGAAUGGGGUGUUUAUCCACAUACUUUUGGCCAUAUAGUGUACCUAGAGUACUUGUAGUAUCUGUAUUGGCCUAUAUGGAUUUUUUUUUUUUAUAUAAAUGUUUAUUAACUUGAUUUUAAUAAUUUAAAGUAUGUUAUGUUGUGCAGUUGCGUGCAAAAUGUAAUUAUUUCUUUUUUUUUUUUGUGGAAAUAUAUGAAUCUGGAGAGCCUUGUUGGAAAGUGAACAAGGAGUGUUUGUGGGCAGAUGGUGGAGAUCCCAAGAAAAACAGUUAACUAGCAAAUGAGCUACAGUAAAUAUCAGUGCUUAAACUAUGCAAUUCAUUAACAGCACUCAAAGCAUCAACAAUUUCUUUUAUUGAAAAAAUACUGAGCUCAGUUAAGAUUUCUUUGCAACACUUGAACGAAAAUAAAGCGUUUGAUCAAAACA